GUCAGUGUGGCAUAGUGGUUUGAGUGCUGGAGUACAACUCUGGAGACCAGGGUUCUAGUCACAGCUCAGCCA